GUGGAUUAGAUACCCUGGUAGUCCACGCCGUAAACGAUGGAUGCUAGCCGUUGGCGGGUUUACUCGUCAGUGGCGCAGCUAACGCAUUAAGCAUCCCGCCUGGGGAGUACGGUCGCAAGAUUAAAACUCAAAGGAAUUGACGGGGGCCCGCACAAGCGGUGGAGCAUGUGGUUCAAUUCGAAGCAACGCGAAGAACCUUACCAACCUUUGACAUGCCUCGUAUGGUCGCUGGAGACAGCUUCCUUCCCGCAAGGGGCGAGAGCACAGGUGCUGCACGGUCGUCGCCAGCU
rnacentral:rRNA from 1 species